UUAACAGGCCAGAUUGCCGCUGCCGGGAGUUUCCCGGUAGAGGAAAGUCCGGGCUCCAUAGAGAAUGAUGCCGGGUAACUCCCGGGCAUUCCUUUCAGGAAUGACAGAAAGUGUCGCAGAAAAUAUACCGCCCUUCGGGGUAAGGGUGAAAUGGCGGGGUAAGAGCCCACCGCUCUUUUGGCAACAAAAGGGGCAUGACAAACCUCAUCAGGAGCAAGAUCAAGCAGCAGACAGGGUUUCUCGCCUAUUGACUGCGGGUAGAUUGCUAAAGCCGGCUGGUAACAGCCGGAUAAGAUAGAUGGCAGUCCUUUGACAGAACCCGGCUUAUCGGCCUGUUUUUUUA
rnacentral:RNase_P_RNA from 2 species